CACACACACACGGGGUCAGUCUGGCUUCAAACUCCUUCAGGGAAACACGGGACCCCAAAACGGGAGGAGGAAGAGGCGAGGAGAAAGAGAAAAAGAGAGAAAGAAAGAUCGAGAAAAAGAGAGAAAACAAGAGUGAGAAAAGGAUAAACAAAGGAAGAGCAAAGGAACCCCAAGGAGCAAGAGGAUCUGAACCCAUCCUACACGUAUCACAAGGCAAAUGAAGAAUCUCAAGAAAGGAAGGAGAUAGGAGAAGAAGAAACCUGAAGAGAGAAGAAGGGAGAUAGGAAAGCGAGGAAGAAGAGAGGAACAAGAAAACUGGAGAGAGAAGAAGGGAGAUAGGAAAGCAAGGAAGAGGAAUAAGAAAACUGGAGAAAGAAGAAGGGAGAUAGGGAAGCAAGGAAGAAAAGAGAAGAAGAAGAAACCUGAAGAAAGAAUGGAGAUAGGAAAGCAAGGAAGAGAAGAGGAAUAGGAGAGUUACACGAAGAAGAGAUGAACGGAAAGAGAUGAGAAACCAGGAGACAGGAAUACUGAGGAAGAACAAGACGUAGGAAGGAGAAGAAGAAUAAAGAAGAGGAAUUAAGGAAAGACCAAUAAACAGAGCAAGGAGGAGGCAGAGACGAGAAAGGAAAAACACUCAAUAAAAGAGGGAGAGGAAAAGGAAAAGAAGGCAGAACAGAAGCAGAAAUAUAAUCAAGAAACGAAAGAAAGCAUGGAAAUAACGCAAAAGCAGUAACACGAAGUAGAUGAGAAGUAGGAAGAAGAAAACGAAGAAGAAAAACAAGAAUCAAGCAGGCAGGAGUGAGCAGAAGCAGGGAUAGAGAAGUAAGCAAAACAAACCUAAGAACAAAAGAAAUAAAAAAGAUAAAAAUAAACAAGAAAUAACAGGAAGAUAAGUAAAGGAAAAAGUAGGGAGAGUGAGUAAGAGGAGGAGAAAAGUAAAUGAGAUAAAUUUGAGAAAACAGAAACAAAAUAAAGAAAAAUCCUACAACCACCUCAAAUCAACAGGAAGACAAGCAAGCAAGCAGGAGGAGUCAGCAGAAGGAAGGAAGAAGAGGAGGAAAGAAAAGUUAAGAUGAAGAUGAAAAAACAGUAAGAACAAGAGAGAUCAGCAGGAAGACAGCAGGAAGAGAAGCAGGCAGGAACCAGCAGGAGGAAGAAAAGAGAAGUGAAGAAGACGAAUCAGAGAGAGAGAGAGAGAAAGAAAAAGAUAUAUAGAACAACAACAACAAAAAAAACGAAUUAUCAGGAAGUCAACAAUAAGAUUCAGGAAACAAAAUCAAACAAAAAAAAAACAAGAAUCAGUAGGAAGACUCGACAAGCAGAAACAAGCAGAUAAGAAAACAAGCAGAAACAAGCAGAUAAGAAGACAAGCAGAAACAAGCAGAUAAGAAGACAAGCAGAGACGAAAACAAGCAGGAAGAAUUAGCAGCUGCAAGGGACGUUCAAGGCUUCCCGAUGUGUGUGUGGCUGUGUCUCUUCGGCGUGGUGGGCUCCUGCUUGUAAGUGUGACGGCAGCCCAGGUGUACGGGAGAAGUUGAUGAUGGCGUGGCGACACCGCUCGUCUACAGAGAAGGCCCAGCUGAGCGUCAUCGGCUUCCUCGUCUUCGCGCUCUUCUGCUUCAUCAUAGCGGUGGUAGCGAUGGACCUGUCAUUCAAGAAGAAGAUAAAUGAAUUGGAGGAUGAGCUGGAUGGGAUGAAGACCACGAUGGAUGACAACUCCACCACCAUCUCCACCGACACCACCACCACCACCACCACCUCCACUUCCACCGAGCCCACCACCACCAUCACCACCACC